ensembl:lncRNA
CUCAGCUUCUUCCCGACCUUCCAAAAUCCCUUUCGUCCCUUCCCAGCGAGGGCACACCACAGAGACAGGGCCACCUCCAAGUGGCCCAGCAGGGAAACCGGAAUCGUGGGAGGGGGCCCACGGCUGCCUGGUGACGCACUUCCGUUCUGGCCAUCGUCGUCUCUAGCUGCGGAGGAACCAGGGUCUGGGCGAGCUGGAGUUGCGCCCCUCCGAACAGCGAGGCGUCAGUCUCCCUGCCUCCGGGACUCACGCUCGGUCUCGAUCCUGACGUUCUUGCCCUUCCUUGAGAGGGGGGUAAAGACAGAAGGGCCCGUGAUGACUGCUAUAAAUCUGCCAGCUGAACCCCAGCCCCCUUGCAGGAACUGAAUGUUAGGGUUGUCUCAGAAGCAGUAGGAUCAUCUUGUUGCAGGAGUUGGUGACAUUUGAGGAUGUGGCUGUGUACUUCACCCAGAAGGAAUGGGAAAGCCUGGCCCCAGCUCAGAGGGCCCUAUACAGGGACGUGAUGCUGGAGAAUUAUGGAAAUCUGAUCUCCCUGGGUAAGAGCUCUCUUUUGCCUAGAUACAUUAUUUGUCCUUUAGGUUUUCUUGGCUUUCUAGUUAGAGGUUUUAAGGCUGUUGUUAAUAUUCAGGUUAACUAGAAUCUCAAGAAUCAUAUCCCCUAACUUCAAGUAUUUUCUGGACAAGGUCCCUUUGGCUCACAAUUGAGACUUUUUUGCUUCUUCUCUAGUGAAUUUUCCCAGUGAUCUAUUCAAAGUUGAUUUCAAAUGAGCAACAUCCCAAUAUGAACCAAAAUCCUUACCUUCCCUGUCUUCCCAGCUAUCUAGAAGAGAUCCUGACCUCUUUAUUUUGAAUCAAAAAAUCCCUCCUGGACCUUGAUGCACACUUGCCCAGUGUGAGAAUUUUCUGUCUUCAGGAGAGGCCAAAAUCCUAACUGUUCCCCUUAAGCAAAAUCUCAUAUAUCACAACCUACUCCACAGUAUUAGGAGCAUACUCCUAAGCCCUUUUUCCUGGGUCAUCUAGGCUUCCUUGUGGCCUCCCUAUGUUAUUUCCCUUCUUUUCCCAUCUUCCUCCUGCAGAUUCAGGGAUAACUCUGUAUGUCUUGUCCCCUUUUCUUCCCUUCAAGCAGCAUUUCUAUUUCCUAAACCUGCUGUAAUCUCCCAGCUAGAGCAAGGAGGAGAUCCCUGGGUCCUGGAUCCACAGGGACCACUAGACAGAGAGGGCACCUGUUAUACAGGUGAGUGCACAGAGAACCUGCCAUUUCCUCCUCUGCUCUGUCUGUCUUUGUAUUAACAAAGUAUGUGAUCCUUUAACCCAGUAUAAUUUGGAGUAAUGGGAUUGCUGUGUUCCACAUUUCUGUUUUCUACUUUUUGUUUUACAAUCUUAAACCUUUACUUCCUUUAUCCUGUUAACGUCUCUACUCAAUUUCUGUUACUUACUGUGCUUGCCUGUGAAGGUGAAUAGCCUCAUCUUUCCCAUAAUUUAUAUUUCUUUACUGAAUUCCACUCUUCCUUAUACUGUAGUUGAGAUUAUUGAACCAGAACACUGGACUUGAAGUCAAAACACCUGAGUUCAAAUCCUGGCUCUUUUACUGUGACCUUGAAUAAAUUAUUUAAUCUCUCUGUGAUGCA